GACGUAGGUGGCGAACGUUAUCCGGAAUUAUUGGGCGUAAAGGGUGCGUAGAUGGCCUGGCAAGUUGGCAGUGGGAAAUCGAGGCUCAACCUCGUGGAAGCUGAUAAUACUGCCUGGCUCGAGUACAGGAGAGGUUAAUGGAACUCCAUGUGGAGCGGUAAAAAUGCGUAGAUAUAUGGAAGAACAUCAAUAACGGCGAAGGCAGUUAACUAUUCUGUUACUGACAUUGAGGCACGAAAGCGUGGGGAGCAAAACGG
rnacentral:rRNA from 1 species